rnacentral:ncRNA from 2 species
AACAGGAGAUUAGAAGGCCAGUGCCAUGUAAUGACCACUUUGAGUGUUCGUUCUCUUUGUAUGAGACUCCCCAGGGUAGCUCAUAAAGUAGAGAUGACUCUGUCAGACAAUGGAGACCUAACUUUCUAGUUUCCCACCCCAGUUG